rnacentral:rRNA from 1 species
AUGCAACGACGAAAACCUUACCCUACCUUUGACAUGUACGAAUCCUUUAGAGAUAGAGGAGUGCUCGAAAGAGAGCCGUAACACAGGUGCUGCAUGGCUGUCGUCAGCUCGUGUCGUGAGAUGUUGGGUUAAGUCCCGCAACGAGCGCAACCCUUGUCAUUAGUUGCUACGAAAGGGCACUCUAAUGAGACUGCCGGUGACAAACCGGAGGAAGGUGGGGAUGACGUCAAGUCCUCAUGGCCCUUAUAGGUGGGGCUACACACGUCAUACAAUGGCUGGUACAAAGGGUUGCCAACCCGCGAGGGGGAGCCAAUCCCAGAAAACCUGUCUCAGUCCGGAUUGAAGUCUGCAACUCGACUUCAUGAAGGCGGAAUCGCUAGUAACCGCGAAUCAGCAGGUCGCGGUGAAUACGUUCCCGGGCCUU